rnacentral:sRNA from 1 species
AUCUCGCGUUAGGGAUUGAAGCGACAUCCUUUUUAUGUUAGUUCGAGUAUUUUUCUUUUUUGAAAAAUGUAACGAGAACAAAAAAAAAGAUAUAGCGAAAAGCCCGACCUUUA